GAUGAACGCUGGCGGCGUGCCUAAUACAUGCAAGUCGAGCGAACAGAUGAGGAGUUUGCUCCUCUGACGUUAGCGGCGGACGGGUGAGUAACACGUGGAUAACCUACCUAUAAGACUGGGAUAACUUCGGGAAACCGGAGCUAAUACCGGAUAAUAUAUUGAACCGCAUGGUUCAAUAGUGAAAGACGGUUUUGCUGUCACUUAUAGAUGGAUCCGCGCCGCAUUAGCUAGUUGGUAAGGUAACGGCUUACCAAGGCAACGAUGCGUAGCCGACCUGAGAGGGUGAUCGGCCACACUGGAACUGAGACACGGUCCAGACUCCUACGGGAGGCAGCAGUAGGGAAUCUUCCGCAAAGGGCGAAAGCCUGACGGAGCAACGCCGCGUGAGUGAUGAAGGUCUUCGGAUCGUAAAACUCUGUUAUUAGGGAAGAACAAAUGUGUAAGUAACUAUGCACGUCUUGACGGUACCUAAUCAGAAAGCCACGGCUAACUACGUG
rnacentral:rRNA from 1 species